rnacentral:rRNA from 1 species
GCAAGUCGAACGAAGCCUUCGGGCUUAGUGGCGCACGGGUGCGUAACGCGUGGGAACCUGCCUUGAGGUUCGGAAUAACAGUUAGAAAUGACUGCUAAUACCGGAUAAUGUCUUCGGACCAAAGAUUUAUCGCCUUUAGAUGGGCCCGCGUUAGAUUAGAUAGUUGGUGGGGUAAUGGCCUACCAAGUCUACGAUCUUUAGCUGGUUUGAGAGGAUGAUC